AUGUCGAUGCCGGUGUCCAUGUCCGGGAAGGCGAGCGACCCGGGUUCCGCCUGGUUCGGCGGCGGCAGCAGGAGCCCGCAACCGGGGCCGACACACAACGUGCGGCUCAUCGCCAUGGCCGUCGCCGCGUUCGUCUCCGUGCUCGGCCUCUCCCUGCUCCUGCACCUCUACAUCUGCCGCGUCCGCCGCAGGAACCGCAGGCAGGCGGAGGCAGCCGCGGCCGCGCUGGAGGCCGGCUCGGCGGCCCCCAAGCCGGCCAAGGUCGGGCUGGACCCGUCGGCCAUCGCGGCGCUGCCAACCGCGGCGUACCAGGAGACGGGCGAGCCGGGCAGCGGCGCAAGCGAGUGCACCAUCUGCCUCGGCGCCAUGCAGGAGGGCGAGGCGGUGCGCGUGCUGCCGGCCUGCGCGCACGUGUUCCACGUCCCCUGCGUCGACACGUGGCUCGCGUCCAGCUCGUCAUGCCCGGUCUGCCGCGCCCUGGUGGAGCCGCCGCUGUCGCCGGCCGCGCCAGCGUGGGUGCAGGAGAAGCAGGGCCUAGAGAAGGAGUGUGCUGCAAGUGGGAGCUCGGCGCCGCCAUGUGGGCUCGGCGCGUCGCUGAUGCGGAUGCUGAGCAGGGAGAGGCCGGUGGCGCGGAGGCCGACGCAGGGUGACCACGCGCACCCGAUGGAAAUGCAUGUCGAGGACCUGGAAAGCCAGCAGCCCCAGCAGCAACACUCUGUGGAUACCAAUUAG
rnacentral:rRNA from 1 species